AUUUGUAAUCAGGGUGUUUGCAUGAGAAGAAGUUCCAGUCGAUGCUCCACAGGCUGCUUCAGUUUCAUGUGAAACAGUCCUUGAUGAUGAACCUAUCUACCUGAACUUUGACCCCUCAAGCUGAUUACUUCAGUGCUCAUCAUUGCAGACUAAGCCCAGUUUUGGAAUUGUGCUUUAAUCAAUCAAUACUUGUGGAUACAAGGCCUGAUCUCAGAUCAGGACCACCAAAUACUGCAACAGAGGACAGAUGAAGAUUUUAAAAUAUGAUUUUAAGUCCAGAGAAAUUGUCAAGGAGUCUCAGCAACA